CCCAGAGCUGUCACGGGCUGGGAGGGGACUCAGGGCCACCCGCCGCCCGUUGCCCGCCGCGCUCCCUGCCCGUCCCUGAGCCACAGGGCUCCCGGGCCCUGACCGUGGCCCCCAGCUCUACGCCCUCAGGCUUCUGCCCAGCUGUCCCUGAGCGACGGCUGCAUGUGGCACCCCACCACCACUCGGGGCCCACGGUGACCAGGGAGUCCCGAGCCUCAGCCACCGUGCGCCCGCAGCCCCGUGCUCCUCCGGGAAUGCUGCUGGUGCCCAAGGCACAGGGGCCCCUGGAGGUGCUGCAGACAACCCACGACACGGAGCCCCCUCUCUCAGCAGAUGGCGUGGCUGGCCGGGAGCCGUCCCUGGAGAUCCUGCCGCGGACACCACUGCGCAGCAUCCCCGUGGCAGGGAUUGAACACAGGACCUUGCACUUUCGAGGCAGGCAGCGGAACCACUGAGCUAAAUCCCCGGCCCUCUUGGCCACAUUUUUGUUGUUAUUUUGAUUUUUCUGAGAUAGUGUCUUACUGUGUGGCCCAGGCUGCCCUCGAACUCACAGUGAUCCUCUUGCCUCCGCCUCCUGAGUGCUGGGAUGAAGGGGUGGGUACCUGCUGUCCUGCUGGCUGCCAGUGCUCAGCGCCAAGCACGGUGCCUGGGACCUGGAUGGACACCGCAGUGGGUGGAGCCGUUCCCGGCUCUGUUCUGGGGCCUGGCCCUCUGGUGACUGAAGCACAGCAGGUCCUGCCGGGGAGGGCCAGGCACACUGCUGUUCCUGAGAGGAAAGUCGAGUCUUGGAGCCAUGGUGGGGUCUGCAGGGUUGAGCUCUCAGCUCACCGUGAGCUUCCCAGGAGUCGCUGCUCUCUUGACCUGGACGCGGGGUUCCCCUCUGUGGCCCUUGGUCUGGCUGAUGCCUGGGUAGUAGUGUGCAGGGCGUGAAGGGAGGCUGAGGCAGGGGGAUCCCAAGUUAGAGCCCAACCUGGCUAGCAGCGAUUUAGCGAGACUCUGGCACAAAAUAAAACAAAGAAUAAAAAGAGCUAGGACAUUGGUCAGUGUGGAGGCCCUGAGUCUGGUCCCCAGUCCUGGGAGAAGACACCAGAGGACCUCUGUCCCCAUGCAGGGAGGUGCUCUGGAUUCGGAUGGGCCCCAGGCUUUCCCUCUGUGUGACACAAGGUGUGCCGGUGUGGAGCCAGCCCUGGUGGGGAGCAGUCUUCCCAUGUGGCAGGUGUAGGAGUACUGGGGGCUCCCCUGCCUUAUCCCCUGUAGGAAGGGUGUUAGUAACACGUCUCCAAGUGAGAAGGACCACAGAGGUCAGGGGGCUUGGCAAGGUCACAGCCAGAGCUGGGAUUUGAACUCAGAUCUUGGUGUGGGGUCCUUGUUAAAGCUGCUUUUGUGGCCCUUGUUAAAGGUGGCCCUUCUGGGGGGAUGUACCCCUGUGCCAGUGUCACAGCUUAGCAAUUGGAGCGUGGGUUAGGUUCCAGCCCCAACUUGCCCUGGUUCAGUUGGCUGCCAUGUGCAGUGUAUGACCUGUGUAACUUUACAUGGCAGGCUGCCUCUGUGGCCCAGUUUGUGCUCCCAAAGAACAGGGACCACUCUGGCCUUGGGGAGCUCUCCUGGGCGUUCUGAGGGGGGGUCCCGCUUCCUUUAAAUACGCAGGAUCGCUUGGAAGUCUCUACCUGUGUGGACUUGGGCCCCGAGGAAGCAGCAUUGAGCUCCCCGCCCUGGGCCUCUUGUUCUUGUGCCCUCAGCUGUCCUUUCCCAGCUGCAUGGCUGCCAGACAGGAAAUCAGAUUCGCUGUGUUCGCACAUGCAGCUGUGACAGCCGGCAGUCGGGAUGCGGGUCGGUGGGUGUCAGGCCCGGUCCUGGCAGAUGCUCCAGGGAGUGUGUGCACGAGUGCGCGGCCAGCAUUAGCUAACUGUCGUCUGUGGCCGGGCCCUGCUUGGAGGAAGGAAGGCUCCCUUCUUGCACCCUGUGCAGUCGGGGCAGUGGGCCCAGCCACCCUGGCGAUCCCGGCCCCCCAGAAGCCCUGGUGUCAGGGCCUAGCUAGGAGAGAGGCCAUUGGUCCCCAGCACGCAGGUGCGGAGGGGCCAGGUGCCUCUGGCUGUCAGGCUGGCUGUGUGUGGGUGGAGGCCGGUCUCCCACCAGCCCUGCGUCCCAGCCCGCAGCUGGGUAGUUGGCUGGCCCUGUGCCUUUGUAUAGCACCCAGCUCAGCUCCCAGUGUUUCCUGGGAAUGCCAGGAGGUGGAGUCUGCCUUCCCAGACAGGCACUUGGCCUGCUUUUUCACGGUGUGUGUCCCCCGGGCUGCAAAGCCCUGUCAGGACUUUUUGUUUUUGUAGCCUAGGCUGGCCUUGAACUUGCAGUUCCUCCUGCCUCAGCUUCCUGAGUGCUGGGAUUACUGGCAUGCGCCACCAUGGCCAGCUUAGCGUUCACAAUCAGGGUCAGCACCAGCUCCUGGGACUCCCUGCAUCCAGCCCCCUUGUGCCCCGUGCUCCCGGGCCCUGGUGUUCAGAGUCGGCUAGCUGCCUUGUCCAGAUUCUGUGACUGUGGUGCUGUGCAGGGCUCCUGCCGCAGCUCUUGGGGUAUCCAGGAGCAGCCUUUGGAUUUCCCUUCUGGCUUUGCUUUGUUUUUGAGACAGGCUCUCAGUGUAGCCCAGACUGGCCGUGAACUUACAGUCAUCCUCCCGACUCAGCCUCCCAAGGAUUGGGACUAGACGCGUGCGCCACC
ensembl:lncRNA